UCGAGUAUUUAAUAUCCACACUCGGCCAUCACUCCGCUGCAAAGAAGCGUAAAGAGACAACACGUCCCUGUUGGCAACCUUCUUCUUCUCUCGUCUUUACAUUCUCAAUAAUAAUUUUUUCAUGCUAAUACACCGUCUCCUUUCUCUCUCUCUCUCGCCAACUGCUCAGAGAUUUCUUGGUCUUUUUCUACACCAAAUGGUGAAGAAAAUGAAACCGGAUUCAAAACUGCUGUUAUCACUCCACAAACGCAAUCAUGUCUUUGUGAAGUUUGCUGUCUCAUUUCUCUUACUGGGUCUCGCUUUUCGUCUUUUCUCCUCUGAUUCGAUCAGGAUUUCUUCACAGUUAGAGACACCCCCUGUUUCCGAGAGAAAAACAGAGUCCCCUGUGGUUUCUGUCCCCAUUCAGGCGCCUGUUUCUGCGGUUUCUCCUGUAAAUGAAAACCAUACAUCUGAUAAUGUUGCAGAAAAGUGUGAUAUAUUCACGGGAGAUUGGAUAGCUGACAAAUCAGGUCCAGCUUACACCAACGAGAGCUGCCAUGUGGUUGAGAGUCAUCAAAAUUGUAUGAGGAAUGGGCGUCCCGAUUCAGGCUACCUUUUCUGGAGGUGGCGUCCACUCGACUGUGAAUUACCCAGGUUCAAUUCCAAGAGAUUUCUAGACCUUAUGAGGAAUAAGUCAUGGUCCUUUGUUGGUGAUUCCAUUUCACGUAACCAUGUGCAGUCAUUGCUCUGUAUUCUGUCACAGGUGGAACAAGCUGUUGAGAUCUACCACGAUGAGGAAUACCGCUCCAAAAGAUGGCACUUUCCUACUCACAACUUCACACUUUCAGUGAUUUGGACUCCUUUCCUCACAAAAUCAGCUAUCUUUGAGGACAUGAAUGGGGUUUCUUCAUCAGAAAUCCAGCUCUACCUUGACAAACUUGACGAAACUUGGACCAAUCAAUAUAAGAAUUUUGAUUACGUGGUAAUUGCUGGUGGCAAAUGGUUUCUCAAAACGGCAAUUUACCAUGAGAACAACACCAUUGCAGGCUGUCAUUACUGCCCUGGAAAGAACUUGACAGAGCUAGGCUUUGACUAUGCAUAUCGCAAGGCACUUCAGCUGGUUCUCAACUUUCUCACGCGUCAUGGCCAAAAGGCAUUUGUUUUCUUCAGAACUACCACGCCAGACCACUUUGAGAAUGGAGAAUGGUUCAGUGGAGGAUACUGCAACCGAACAAUGCCAUUCAAAGACGGCGAGGUUGAUAUGAGAGAUGUAGACCGUAUAAUGCGUGACAUCGAGUUGGAAGAAUUUGACAAGGCUGCUGCAGUCGGAUCUGAAAAUGGGGUGAUUUUGAAGCUUUUGGAUACAACCCGCCUUUCAAUAUUGAGGCCUGAUGGGCACCCUGGACCCUACCGGCAGUUCCAGCCCUUUGCAAAUGAAAAGAAUGCCAAAGUUCAGAAUGAUUGUUUGCAUUGGUGCUUGCCCGGGCCAAUAGACUCUUGGAAUGACUUGGUGAUGGAAUUGAUGGUGAAUGGUGAAAAAUACAGAUGAUUUUAGCUUUGGGUUAUCUGCGUUUUGAGGGUCCCCGGCUCAGUUUAUUAUGAAUAUUUGAGAUGUGGUCUUCUUGCCAUCUGCCCAUACUCUCCAUUGUGUUUUACACGGAUAAUUUCUCUAUACGUUGAUUUAUCACAAGCUACCAGGAAGGCAUUUUCCUGACAGCAUACACUGUUGGGAUGCAAGCUGAGGGGUGGAAGUUAUAUAGACCAUAAAACAGAACCCAAGGAAAAUGAAUUGAACAUUGCUGGAUUGUCAGUUUGGAAAAGCAGGGGGCAUCUUUAUCAGUCAAACGCUGGCAAAUCCAAGCACUCUGCUCAAGUGGAAUCAUACCUAGAAGACUUUUCAGUUUUCUCCUUCCUAACAUGAGAGAGAGAGAGAGAGAGAGCUUGGGAUGUAACAACUGACUUUCAGCAUGCUCUGAAUGGAAUCACCAGGGGCAGGAAGGCCAUCCAGGAUAUCCCUCCCGAGAGAGGAAGAUGUAAAUAUAAUAAAGCUAAAGGCCGUUGGCAUAAGCCUCAACAAGUUAUUCGUUCUGAUCCUGAAUCUUGAGUUCCCGUCCAAAAACAAGCACAUCUUCCUGAAUAAGCUACCAGAAAUAAAAUGCUUCAAGAAAUGGGUUAUACAAGUAGUUAAAGAAAUAGAAUGCUUAAAGAAAUGGAUUAUAAUUGGAGCCACAAAUACCACAGAUGCAUUGGAGCACCAAAUUCCAACCACUAAUGAAAAAUCAAAAUCCAGUUGGUUAAGCCACUUCAACAUUAGGCUGACAAAUUGUUGA